rnacentral:rRNA from 1 species
GGGAUAACAUUCUGAAAAGAAUGCUAAUACCGCAUGACAUAUCGGAACCACAUGGUUCUGAUAUCAAAGAUUUUAUCGCUUGAAGAUGGACUCGCGUCCGAUUAGUUAGUUGGUGAGGUAACGGCUCACCAAGACCGCGAUCGGUAGCCGGACUGAGAGGUUGAACGGCCACAUUGGGACUGAGACACGGCCCAGACUCCUACGGGAGGCAGCAGUGGGGGAUAUUGCGCAAUGGGGGCAACCCUGACGCAGCAACGCCGCGUGAAGGAUGAAGGUUUUCGGAUUGUAAACUUCUUUUAUUAAGGACGAAAAAUGACGGUACUUAAUGAAUAAGCUCCGGCUAACUACGUGCCAGCAGCCGCGGUAAUACGUAGGGAGCAAGCGUUGUCCGGAUUUACUGGGUGUAAAGGGUGCGUAGGCGGCUUUGCAAGUCAGAUGUGAAAUCUAUGGGCUCAACCCAUGAACUGCAUUUGAAACUGUAGAGCUUGAGUGAAGUAGAGGCAGGCGGAAUUCCCCGUGUAGCGGUGAAAUGCGUAGAGAUGGGGAGGAACACCAGUGGCGAAGGCGGCCUGCUGGGCUUUAACUGACGCUGAGGCACGAAAGCGUGGGUAGCAAACAGGAUUAGAUACCCUGGUAGUCCACGCUGUAAACGAUGAUUACUAGGUGUGGGGGGUCUGACCCCUUCCGUGCCGGAG